GAUGAACGCUAGCGGCAGGCUUAAUACAUGCAAGUCGAACGGUAACAGCAGAGUUUACUUUGGCUGACGAGUGGCGCACGGGUGAGUAACGCGUACACAAUCUACCUCUAAGAGGGGCAUAGUCUAUGGAAACGUAGAAUAAUACCGCAUGGUAUCCUAGAAUCGCAUGGUUUAGGGAUUAAAACUUCGGUGCUUAGAGAUGAGUGUGCGUCCUAUUAGCUAGAUGGUAAGGUAACGGCUUACCAUGGCGAUGAUAGGUAGGGGGCGUGAGAGCGUGGACCCCCACACGGGUACUGAGACACGGACCCGACUCCUACGGGAGGCAGCAGUAAGGAAUAUUGGACAAUGGGCGAAAGCCUGAUCCAGCCAUGCCGCGUGAAGGAAGACUGUCCUAUGGAUUGUAAACUUCUUUUAUAAGGGAAGAAACGCCUGGAUUUAUCCGGGCCUGACGGUACCUUAUGAAUAAGCACCGGCUAACUCCG
rnacentral:rRNA from 1 species